rnacentral:rRNA from 1 species
GAUGCAGUCAACGCGAAGUCCCCUUCGGGGGGCGAGUAGAGUGGCGAACUGGUUAGUACAAGGUGGACAACGUGCCCUCUGGUGGGGGAUAACCCCUGGAAACAGGGGCUAAUACCGCAUGAGCCCCGCAGGUCUCCGGACCAGCGGGGGAAAGGUCUCGGCCGCCGGAGGAGCGAUCCACCCCCCAUUAGCUUGUUGGUGAGGUAAAAGCUCACCAAGGCGACGAUGGGUAGCUGGUCUGAGAGGAUGGUCAGCAACACUGGGACUGAGAUACGGCCCAGACUCCUACGGGAGGCAGCAGUCUAGAGGCUUCGGCAAUGGGGGAAACCCUGACCGAGCGACGCCGCGUGGAGGAUGACGCACCUCGGUGUGUAAACUCCUGUCAGUUGGGGAGAAAGCCCCGGUGGUGAACCGGGGACUGACUGUCCCAGCAGA